rnacentral:misc_RNA from 1 species
GGGUAUAUUAUAAUAGAUUAUCAUAAUAGACUUCAUUUCUUUUGAAAUGGUUCGUCUGAAUCAGUCUGGAUCAUCCUGACGAAGUCAUGAUAAUGGUUUGCUUUCGUGGAUUAUCGUACUUGGCCGAAAGAUUCCUGUUUCGCAGAAAAAUAUAUGCUGCCUUGCGCUACUAAUGUCUCUUAAAAUUCAAUCCCUAGUCCUGAGGCCAGUUUGCGUGUUACAACAGCCAGACCUUUCACCAUGUGCGUUGUGGAUUUUAUGUAUUGCCAAUUCUGGGAGUCAGAGACUCAGAACAAUCAACAGCUGGAACGGCCUGCCUCCCUCUGUUGUACCCGCACCUACUGUCAAUGCCUUCAAGUCCCUGACUCUACUCCCACUGGAAAAACAUCAAUAUUCAUCAGUCUUCGAUUAAUAGAAACAGCAAGUUUAAAGUAAUGAUCCGGUCCAAUAGGCCUGCCACUUGGCCUCAAAAUUAUGUGUACUUCUAAGGUAAGGGAUGAAAUGGACAUAUACCAUCUCACGUGGCUGCUGCGUUUCCGGGCAUUCACACAUUGUAAACACUGCAGCUGGCAUGCAGGCUGUGUUGUGGUCGCACUGGCUCCAGCCCGACAGGCCUCAUCUGGCCGACAGCCGCCCCCGCCUCCGGCUGACCGAGGAUUCACCACCGACGGGAACAAGUAUGUGCACGUCUGGGCGGACGGUGCGUGCCGCAGCAACGGGCGACGUGACGCGCGCGCCGGCAUCGGCGUGUGGUUCGGACCAGGCCAUCGGCUGAACGUGUCUGAGCCGGCCGCGCCGCCGGCCACCAAUAACAGCGCAGAGCUGCAGGCGGCCGGCCGCGCGCUCCGGCUGGCCAGACAGGCGGGCUUCUCGCGUGUCCUGGUGCACACCGACUCACGCUUUGUGAUUGAGUGCGCCACCCGCUGGCUGCGCGUCUGGCGAAAGAACGGCUGGCGACUGGCCGGCGGCGGUCCCGUCAAGAACCGUGCGCAGCUCGAGCAGCUGGCACGCGCCAUGGACGACGUCACCGUGAAAUGGAACCAUGUUCGUGGGCAUUCUGGUGACGGCGGUAAUGCGGCGGCCGACCGGCUGGCCGUGGCCGCCACCCAGCUCGGAGACGGCUCUCAGACGCGGACGUGUUCCCGGCACCGGCAGCCAGCGCCCGACACCGUCCGACGGCGGACUUUUGUCGGCGGGGACGGUGCCGCUGGGCCCCAGCCGGGUACUGCAACGUGACGCCAACCCCGUCCGGUCAGUGUUCACUCUGUGCACGGCGCCUUGGGACGGUCAAGUCAUGGAUGAAGUACUCUACUUGACCAUGGAUGCCAUCAUUCAUGGUCAAGUGUCCCGCCUCGGUAAUAUUCCGUUCUAUGUCGCGUCCUUAGCAAUGGCCAGUCGCAAACAAGUGUUGAACUGUUGACAUGUGCCCAUCAAAUCCAUCAAUGUCCAUCAAAUCAUCGGCAUGUGAUGCUGUGCGGAAAAUACUGAACUAGCUGUGAGAUGACCAAUUACCUAAGACUUACCAAUGUGAGGUAAAUAGGUACGAGGUGCACUCUAGAUUUUUUAGACUUUUUCAGUAGAGACAGUCAUAUAUUUCAGAGAAAUAUUAAACUUAAGUCAUCCUGGAAGUAGGAUCUCCUCCUGAGUUAAUUGCACUUACAGAGUGUCCCAAAAGUUCGUUUUCACAUAUUAUUUGCAUGUAAAACAGGGUACAUUCCGUUUUGAUAUAUUUAUGACAUUGACCACCGGGUGGUCCACCCAAUAGGCUCCCUAUUCCAUGUGCAAUCAUAUGAAUAUGCGCUGUGGCAUGCUAAUCGCCGUGACGCUUGCCUUAGUUUCCUGGCACCACUUUUGAGCUUUUCUUGGCCUGUGCGCCGAUACUCCAUAGCGAGUCCACACUCCACAGUGACGGUUCAAGUUAAGCUAGAAAGCACUUUUUUAGACCCCAGACCUUUGACUUAGAGACUUCUCCCAGACCUUCGUGGUGAAGCAGUAUGCGUCCAAAAACUGUUUUCGGGGUACCUUGUUCAACUGGAGUCAGCGCUUGUGCUCCUAUAACGCCACAAUACCGUGACCUAAUUGGCUUACACAAAAGUCCUGUUGCAGUUGAAGGCCCGCUGGUAGUCCUCCAAAGUGAAGGUGGCCAGUGCCUUUGUCACAGCCUCCUUCAUCCCCUCCACAUCCUCAUAACAGUGGUCCCUGAGCUUCUCUUUCAGUCUGGGGACAUCCAGAAGCGACAGCGGGCCAGACCUGGAUAAUAGGGAGGAUGAGAGAUUAUUUUUACGCCCACCUGACGUGUCAGGAAGCUCGUCACCAUGAUGGACUUGUGGGUGGGUGCGUUGUCCUGGUGCAGGUGCCACUGGCCGAAUUGGAAGAGUUCUGGCCUCUUGCGGCGAAUUCUUUCUGAACUCCA